rnacentral:rRNA from 1 species
GACGAACGCUGGCGGCGUGCUUAACACAUGCAAGUCGUACGGUAAGGCCCUUUCGGGGGUACACGAGUGGCGAACGGGUGAGUAACACGUGAGUAACCUGCCCACAACUUUGGGAUAACGCUAGGAAACUGGUGCUAAUACUGGAUAUGUGCCCCUGCUGCAUGGUGGGGGUUGGAAAGCUCCGGCGGUUGUGGAUGGACUCGCGGCCUAUCAGCUUGUUGGUGGGGUAGUGGCCUACCAAGGCGGCGACGGGUAGCCGGCCUGAGAGGGUGACCGGCCACAUUGGGACUGAGAUACGGCCCAGACUCCUACGGGAGGCAGCAGUGGGGAAUAUUGCACAAUGGGCGCAAGCCUGAUGCAGCAACGCCGCGUGCGGGAUGACGGCCUUCGGGUUGGAAACCGCUUUCAGCAGGGACGAAGCUUUUUGUGACGGUACCUGCAGAAGAAGCACCGGCUAACUACGUG